rnacentral:rRNA from 1 species
CUACGGGUCGCACCAGUGAGGAAUAUUGCACAAUGGGGGGAACCCUGAUGCAGCAACGCCGCGUGGAGGAUGACGCAUUUCGGUGUGUAAACUCCUUUUAUAUGUCAAGAAAAUGACGGUAGCAUAUGAAUAAGCACCGGCUAACUCCGUGUCAGCAGCCGCGGUAAUACGGAGGGUGCAAGCGUUACUCGGAAUCACUGGGCGUAAAGGACGCGUAGGCGGGUUGGAAAGUCAGGUGUGAAAUCCUACAGCUUAACUGUAGAACUGCACUUGAAACUUCUAAUCUAGAGUAUGGGAGGGGGAGAUGGAAUUAGUGGUGUAGGGGUAAAAUCCGUAGAUAUCACUAGGAAUACCUAAAGCGAAGGCGAUCUCCUGGAACAUUACUGACGCUAAGGCGUGAAAGCGUGGGGAGCAAACAGGAUUAGAUACCCGCGUAGUC